CUGCAGGCUGGAAAGGCUUGAUUCAUCUGAUACCUGGCUUGUUCCCACAGACCUGAUGCUGAGGAGGGGGCAACAUGAGUGCCCAGCAUAAUGAAGUGAUGGAGCUGCUUGCGAACCUGACAUUGAAUAUUGGCAUGCUUUGUUUAUGUGAACGUUGUCUUCAUGCAGCUGAAGCUUCUGAGCAACUGAACUUCUGGAGAUCCAUAUUCCCCAAGGGACUUGUUUGAAUUCUUACCUGGCACUAACAUAUUGCUCUUCCCUUCUUUCAUAACAGAUUUCUGCUGUCCUCUCUCUUAUUGCCUCAGAACUAAAAAGAAGUUGUCUUGUAUUUCAACAAGAACUUCUGUUGUAUUUUUAGUUUAUUCAAAAUAAAGUGAAACAGCUGUCUGA